AAUAUUGGACAAUGGGCGCAAGCCUGAUCCAGCCAUGACGCGUGAGUGAUGAAGGCCNNNGGGUUNUAAAGCUCUUUCACCGGNUAGNAUAAUGACGGUAACCGUGUAAGUAGCCCCGGCUAACUUCGUGCCAGCAGCCGCGGUAAUACGAAUGGGGCUCGCGUUGUUCGGAAUUACUGUGCGUAAAGAGCACGUAGGCUGAUCGGUCAGUUAGGGGUGAAAUCCCGGGGCUCAACCCCGGAACUGCCUUUAAUACUGCCGGUCUAGAGUCCUAUAGAGGUGAGUGGAAUUCCGAGUGUAGAGGUGAAAUUCGUAGAUAUUCGGAGGAACACCAGUGUCGAAGGCGGCUCACUGGCUCGGUACUGACGCUGAGGUGCGAAAGCGUGGGGAGCAAACA
rnacentral:rRNA from 1 species